rnacentral:rRNA from 1 species
AGCGAACGCUGGCGGCAGGCUUAACACAUGCAAGUCGAGCGGGCACUUUCGGGUGUCAGCGGCGGACGGGUGAGUAACGCGUGGGAACGUGCCCUCUGGUUCGGAAUAACUCAGGGAAACUUGAGCUAAUACCGGAUACGCCCUUUUGGGGAAAGGCUUGCUGCCGGAGGAUCGGCCCGCGUCUGAUUAGCUAGUUGGUGAGGUAACGGCUCACCAAGGCGACGAUCAGUAGCUGGUCUGAGAGGAUGAUCAGCCACACUGGGACUGAGACACGGCCCAGAAUCCUACGGGAGGCAGCAGUGGGGAAUAUUGGACACUGGGCGCAAGCCUGAUCCAGCCAUGCCGCGUGAGUGAUGAAGGCCUUAGGGUUGUAAAGCUCUUUUAUCCGGGACGAUAAUGACGGUACCGGAGGAAUAAGCCCCGGCUAACUUCGUG